UGACAGACCACCUCCUCUGUCCUGCCUGCUCAGCAGCAGCCAUUUAUGGCUGUGAGAUGAUCAAUGCAGGAGCAUGCUGCCCAUUCAUCUCAGCUAACUGACCUGCCAGAGUGCAAAAAGGACAUACUGAAAAACGAAGCCUGUCCUAGCAAGCACAGUCACUGGAUGUUGUCAUGAAGACAACCUCAAAGCCAUGUACGCAUUUAAUUGACAAGCCAUAAACACCUGCAGGUGUAAGAAGUGCAACUUCUAUCGAUUUCUUUUGAACUGGAGCCAAGCCGCAGGGACUCUGAAGUUGAUAUUAGGGAUCUGCCAUCCUCCCACUGAGUGAUCCACCCGUCCAAGUAGCUGUCACAUUUAGUCUGAACGAAUGCUCUUCUUGUGGGCUGAUUAAUUACUGUGUGUAAGAGGUUAUCCUGUAAUCAUCACUGCGAGGUCCCAGAGACAAAGACACUACCACAGUAAGUUCCUCAGCUGUGGAGACAGCGGCCAUUAAUCAACAAACCACACACUCUACAUGUAAGGAUUAGUCCUUGACGAGAAAGAUAAGUAAAUAAUUGUGAUAUAUUUUACAACAACCACUUCUGAAGUGAUGCCUUUAAUUAACUGCUAUAAAUUAUAGAGCAUGUUGUCCACAUUGAGGCAGAGAAAAGAAACUGAAUCCUACCAGCUUGAAAAGGUGCUAUUCUGAGGAUGACCCUCUGAUUGCCUCACAAUCCCCCCAUUAAACGGUAGAAAUGGUCGACACAAAUCCAUCCUUCAUAUGGUGUGGGAGGCUGACCCUUUACUCUGUACUCUCCAGUGGCGGGGGGACCGAUAAGAAAAAGGAAAUUUCCCCCGAGACACAGGAUCACUUUCAAUUAAUUCAUUUUUAACUGCCACACACUGCCAAUUGCACAGGAGCCUAAGAAAAGUAAAUUAUUUUGAGUUUCAAAAAAUCUUUAUAGCCUUGAAAUAAAUAUAGUCACUUCGGUGCCAGGUGUAAGGCUGUUCUCAAGUUGUUUCUUUUUGAUUAAUAACAGUAUCUGUUCAGUUUUAGCAUUAAUUUAACCUACAGGUAGAUACACAGGACUGUAUUUCAUCAUGCUUUAUUACACGGCUUUGUUUAAUUACGGCAUUCUAUGGUCUGUUAUUCCUUUUUGUAAUAAUUUUUUUUAUUAAUAUUUUAACAUGAUCAUGUAGGGGGAGGGGUUACAAAUUUGAAAAAUUGAUGAAUAUAAUCACGAAUGUCCAUGCAUUAAUCAGCACAGAAUUGGCAAGCAACCACAAACAGUACAAAAAUAGAAAAACAUGCGAGCAUUUGUGUUGCCAGCUAGCCAUGUCUCUGCUUUGCACAGAGUUCCAAGUUGGAGCUGUCGUUAAGUAAUAUUACUUCUGGCAAGUUAGGAAUGGCUUUGGACAGUAUGUUUGAUAGCAUUUCUGAAAUCUUCCAGAACCCUGUAACCCCUGGGCAGUCCCACACCACACAAUUUUUGUGCAGAGUGCAGUUUGGUGAUGGUGAAGCUUUCAUUCUAUGCAAUGUGCAGGGAGUAAAGUAUGUUUUGUGUGUGAAAUUAUAAUGAAUAACUUGAUGGGGUUCCUGAAGAUAGUUGAAUGUUCUGCUAGAUUAGUCUCCAAUUGGGUUGGAGCUAUUUGGUGAGAGGUCCUUUCAGUCUGUCAAUAGAAAGGGGCUUACAGGAGGCCUUAUGCAAGAUGGAAUAUAUUGUCAAGACCAAUCGGUCUGUUAUUUUUGAAUAACAGAGCAUUGCUAUGGAUGCCAUUCUGAUCAUAGACUUAUACAGACAUAUUCAUAAUAUGUCAUGAUAGAAAAAAGCCUUUCUUUCUGAUCAGAAUGUGUGUUCACAUGGAAAAUUGCUAUAACUGUGCUGAUAUUCUUCUAAUUGUUUAUCACAACAUUUACUCAAGAAUCAGUUGGAUGAAUAUUUCUUUCUAGAGAUUACACCUGUGCUAUCAGUCUCCAUCUGACUUUUCAUCACCUGCACCUUGUUAAGAAACAGCUGAAGGGCAAAAAAUCUCAUUAAAAGAGUCCUUUUUUGACUUUA